CUUAAAUUGAAGAGUUUGAUCAUGGCUCAGAUUGAACGCUGGCGGCAGGCCUAACACAUGCAAGUCGAGCGGAAACGAGUUGUCUGAACCUUCGGGGAACGA
rnacentral:rRNA from 1 species